CUCCAGCUGACGAGUCCCAAAUAGGACGAAAGGCGCAUCCUGGAU
rnacentral:hammerhead_ribozyme from 1 species